rnacentral:ncRNA from 1 species
GUGAGUUUGCUAGAGCUGCAUUUUCCAGGCGACGUUUGCAAUUGCAGGAAGGAAUUGUAUGAAUGAUGAUGGAUGGUAGAUGUGAGAAUGUGGGGGUACGAAUGUGGGGGUGUUUCUGAAUGGUAAUUUUUGUUGAACAUUGUGUUGUGAUGGGGCUACCAACCCUUAACUGUUUUGGAGUUUAAAUUGGAAGUGCCCUUCUGGUACGAGGCCUGACCGGAGGCUUUUAAUCUGGUACCACGGGUAACCAGGAGCCCACGGAACUUGUUCCGUCCUGGUUAGUUGGUGCGGCCCUUCGGGGAGUAUCGUGGUGGUUGUGGUUUAACACCCAAAUGCGGGUAGAGCAUCGCUCGACGUGGAGUUGCGUCAUACAACCGGGUUCCGUGACCCAGAUUACGGAAGAGGCUUAGAUAGUCCUCGUGCCAAACCAAGGUAGAAGUCACAACCAAACAGUCGUGUCUUUAAUUGGUACCUGCGGAAUUGUUCCAAGGGGGCGGUGAUUGACGCUUGAAUUAAUCCUAUACUAGGAACCGUGAGAUUAAGCCAUCGCGGCAGGUGCUCACGUUAAGCCCACUGACUUUCAUGUCCCUAUCUACUAUCUAGCGAAACCACAGCCAAGGGAACGGGCUUGGAAUAAUUAGCGGGGAAAGAAGACCCUUUUGAGCUUGACUCUAAUCUGGCAGUGUAAGGAGACAUAAGAGGUGUAGAAUAAGUGGGAGAUAUUAGACUUCGGUUUGGUAUCGACAAUGAAAUACCACUACUCUUAUUGUUUCCUUACUUACUUGAUUAAAUGGAACGUGUAUCAUUUCCUAGCCAUUAUACGGAUAUAAUUAUUAUGUCUUAUGGUAUUGGGUUCUGAUGCAAGCUUCUUGAUCAAAGUAUCACGAGUUUGUUAUAUAAUCGCAAACAAAUUCUUUAAUGAGAGAAUGCAUUUAUGUAUUAUUGAUUUAAAAAUUUGGUAUAACUCCAAUUACUCAGGUAUGAUCCAAUUCAAGGACAUUGCCAGGUAGGGAGUUUGACUGGGGCGGUACAUCUCUCAAAUAAUAACGGAGGUGUCCCAAGGCCAGCUCAGUGCGGACAGAAACCACACAUAGAGCAAAAGGGCAAAUGCUGACUUGAUCUCGGUGUUCAGUACACACAGGGACAGCAAAAGCUCGGCCUAUCGAUCCUUUUGGUUUAAAGAG